UCAUGCAGCUGGCAAACUAUAGAUACGCUAACAAGAAAAAUGAAAUAUCGAUUAAAUAUCAACUGCUAACAAGAAAAAUGACAUAUCAACUUGAUGUUUUGAUAGAUUUUGGGUUUAGGGUUUAG
rnacentral:ribozyme from 1 species